CGUUAGCGUUCCCCCCCCCCCCGCCCCCGCCCAGGGUGGGGGCGACGGCCCGGGCUCUGCGCGCUGCCCGGCGCUGUCCGAGGUGCUGGACGCCGGCGGGGCGCGCUCCACGCCGCCGGCUCUGCGCGCAGCUUCCAGAAGGCCCUGCGCGCCCCGUCCCUGAGCGCACCUGCUCCGGCUGCCCAGGACUCAAAGCACGCGGCAUCGUAUCUGCAAGGUGAGCGGCCCGCGCCCCGGCUUCGCGGAGGCCCGCCCCCCAUGUCUGGGUGAAAACAAGCACGCGUGGGGAAACAAUGAACGACUGUUCAGCUGAAGGAAACAAUGCGUGCUUUUGGAUACACGCAUGCGAAUACACCCGUGAAGUUCAUGACCUAUCACUACCCUCUACACCUGUACUUUGUACCGCGAGGCAGGACGGGAUUGGGGAAGCUGAGCCAACGCCGGCGUCGGACCGCAUGGACUGAAAUCCCAACCCAACCACUUGCCUGCCGUGGAUCUCUGAUGGAAGCCGCGUUUGUGGUGACCAUGGCGGCACCUAUCAAGUGGCCGAAUCACUGUGCUGCACUUGAAACGAAUGCAUUUAACAUGUGUCAACUGUACUCGACAAGAAAAAGGAAGAAAAGAAAGGGUCUGCUUCAUCAGGCCAGGGAGGAGGGGCAGCUCACACACGUAAAAUGUCCCGUGCUCUGCCUGGUAGACAGUCGGCGCUCUCUCUGUCUUCGCUGUUUGUCUACCUGAUCCAGUAGUAUUCAAAGUAAGCUGUUAGAAAGACUUUC